UGUAAAAUAAGCUAAGCCUAAAGCUGUUGGGUUCAUACCCCAAAAAUGAACUAAAGUUCUUUUACAA
rnacentral:tRNA from 1 species